rnacentral:rRNA from 1 species
AUCGGCUAACUCCGUGCCAGCGGCCGCGGUAAUACGGAGGAUUCAAGCGUUUUCCGGAUUUAUUGGGUUUAAAGGGUCCGUAGGCGGACCGGUAAGUCAGUGGUGAAAUCCCAGAGCUCAACUCUGGAACUGCCAUUGAUACUGUCGGUCUUGAAUUUAGUUGAGGUGGGCGGAAUACGUUAUGUAGCGGUGAAAUGCAUAGAUAUAACGUAGAACACCGAUUGCGAAGGCAGCUCACUAAACUAACAUUGACGCUUAUGGACGAAAGCGUGGGGAGCGAACAGGAUUAGAUACCCUGGUAGUCCACGCCGUAAACGAUAAUAACUCGUUGUGCACAAUACAUCGUGCGUGACUGAGCGAAAGCAUUAAGUAAUCC